rnacentral:rRNA from 1 species
GACGAACGCUGGCGGCGUGCUUAACACAUGCAAGUCGAACGCUGAAGACCUGGCUUUUGUUGGGUUGGAUGAGUGGCGAACGGGUGAGUAACACGUGAGUAACCUGCCCUCUUCUUUGGGAUAACGCCCGGAAACGGGUGCUAAUACUGGAUAUUCACUGGCCUUCGCAUGGGGGUUGGUGGAAAGGUUUGUUCUGGUGGGGGAUGGGCUCGCGGCCUAUCAGCUUGUUGGUGGGGUGAUGGCCAACCAAGGCUUUGACGGGUAGCCGGCCUGAGAGGGUGACCGGUCACAUUGGGACUGAGAUACGGCCCAGACUCCUACGGGAGGCAGCAGUGGGGAAUAUUGCACAAUGGGCGAAAGCCUGAUGCAGCGACGCCGCGUGAGGGAUGGAGGCCUUCGGGUUGUAAACCUCUUUCGCUCAUGGUCAAGCCGCAACUGUGGGUUGUGGUGAGGGUAGUGGGUAAAGAAGCGCCGGCUAACUACGUG